UAAUCGUGGCUGAGUGGUUAAGGCGAUGGACUAGAAAUUCAUUGGGGUCUCCCCGUGCAGGUUCAAAUCCUGCCGAUGUAG